rnacentral:rRNA from 1 species
AGUGAACGCUGGCGGUAGGCCUAACUCAUGCAAGUCGAACGGCAGCACAGUAAGAGCUUGCUCUUACGGGUGGCGAGUGGCGGACGGGUGAGGAAUACAUCGGAAUCUACUUUUUCGUGGGGGAUAACGUAGGGAAACUUACGCUAAUACCGCAUACGACCUACGGGUGAAAGCAGGGGAUCUUCGGACCUUGCGCGAUUGAAUGGGCCGAUGUCGGAUUAGCUAGUUGGCGGGGUAAAGGCCCACCAAGGCGACGAUCCGUAGCUGGUCUGAGAGGAUGAUCAGCCACACUGGAACUGAGACACGGUCCAGACUCCUACGGGAGGCAGCAGUGGGGAAUAUUGGACAAUGGGCGCAAGCCUGAUCCAGCCAUACCGCGUGGGUGAAGAAGGCCUUCGGGUUGUAAAGCCCUUUUGUUGGGAAAGAAAAGCAGCAGGUUAAUACCCCGCUGUUCUGACGGUACCCAAAGAAUAAGCACCGGCUAACUUCGUG